UAUUACGUAUUUUAAAGUAAUGCCUGAACAAAUCGGAUCAUUUAUACUAACCGAAAAAAUGUUUUCCAGGAAAGUAAAGCACUCAUCUUGAAGUUAAACAUUGAAAUAUACUCUAAAACGAGAUUUAUAAAGUGUUUUUUUUUUUUUUUUAUAUAUAUAAGGAACAAAAUACUUUUUAAAACCAUUCGGAAUACCAGUAUUGAAUACUUCUG